rnacentral:tRNA from 1 species
UAAAAUAAGAAGUAAUUUAUACACCUAGUUUCGACCUAGUUUAAGACUCAAUGUCCUUAUUUUAU